AUUGAACGCUGGCGGCAGGCCUAACACAUGCAAGUCGAGCGAGGGGCGGACGGGUGAGUAAUGUCUGGGUAUCUGCCUGAUAGAGGGGGAUAACUAAUGGAAACGGUAGCUAAUACCGCAUACCAUCAGCUGACCCCAGAUGGGAUUAUCUAGUAGGUGGGGUAACGGCUCACCAAGGCGACGAGCCCUAGCUGGUCUGAGAGGAGGACCAGCAACACGGGGACUGAGACACGGCCCAGACUCCUACGGGAGGCAGCAGUGGGGAAUAUUGCACAAUGGGCGCAAGCCUGAUGCAGCCAUGCCGCGUGUAUGAAGAAGGCCUUAGGGUUGUAAAGUACUUUCAGCGGGGAGGCGUUACCCGCAGAAGAAGCACCGGCUAACUCCGUGCCAGCAGCCGCGGUAAUAC
rnacentral:rRNA from 1 species